rnacentral:rRNA from 1 species
GACGAACGCUGGCGGCGUGCUUAACACAUGCAAGUCGAGCGGAAAGGCCUCUUCGGGGGUACUCGAGCGGCGAACGGGUGAGUAACACGUGAGUAAUCUGCCCUUCACUUGGGGAUAACCUCCGGAAACGGUGGCUAAUACCCGAUAUGACGUAGUCUCGCAUGAGAUCUGCGUGGAAAGUUUUUUCGGUGGGGGAUGUGCUCGCGGCCUAUCAGCUUGUUGGUGGGGUAAUGGCCUACCAAGGCUUCGACGGGUAGCCGGCCUGAGAGGGUGACCGGCCACACUGGGACUGAGACACGGCCCAGACUCCUACGGGAGGCAGCAGUGGGGAAUAUUGGACAAUGGGCGGAAGCCUGAUCCAGCAACGCCGCGUGAGGGAUGACGGCCUUCGGGUUGUAAACCUCUUUCAGUACCGACGAAGCGCAAGUGACGGUAGGUACAGAAGAAGCACCGGCCAACUACGUGCCAGCCGCCGCAGUAACAC